rnacentral:rRNA from 1 species
GUGCCAGCAGCCGCGGUAAGACAGAGGGUGCAAACGUUGUUCGGAAUUACUGGGCGUAAAGAGCGUGUAGGCGGCUAUAUAAGUCGGAUGUGAAAGCCCGUGGCUCAACUGCGGAAGUGCACCCGAAACUGUGUAGCUAGAGUCCCGGAGAGGAAGGUGGAAUGCUUGGUGUAGAGGUGAAAUUCGUAGAUAUCAAACGGAACACCGGUGGCGAAGGCGGCCUUCUGGACGAGGACUGACGCUGAGACGCGAAAGCGUGGGGAGCAAACAGGAUUAGAUACCCGCGUAGUCC